ACAUAGCUACACGUGUUAGACUGUGUGUAUGUGGGGAGGGGGGGGUCUGGAAAGACAUGACUGACACACAGCUACACGUGUUAGACUGUGUGUAUGUGGGGAGGGGGGGGGUCUGGAAAGACAUGACUGACACACAUAGCUACACGUGUUAGACUGUGUGUAUGUG